AAUCCCCUGUUGAGAGACAGAGAAAACAUUGCACUUGCUUUUCUCAACUUCCUUCUCAGAGGGCGUGUGAGUCAUUUGUGAGCUCAUGACGACAGUCCAAAGCGGCCAUUCAUAAAUGAAGCACUACAGUCUUGGGAGAACAGACUCAACACACCAGCAGGAGAGGCCACUGGAGAGAUCAGGGAGACUGUUGAAAGAAAACACCUCCAGUGGUGAAGGCUGGUCUGAAGACAAAGGCAGCAAGUCAUUGCGUACUUGGACAGGAAGACCAGUCACCGCUCCUCCAAAACAACUGCGGAGUCUGUGGUUUGUUUUUCCUAUUCUGCCAAAUUCUAAAUGGAGAAAGGGACGGGGGUGGGUUCAGACGACCGUCGCGGGAAAGAUGGCAGACGCCGC